GAUGAACGCUGGCGGCGUGCCUAAUACAUGCAAGUCGAGCGAACAGAUGAGGAGCUUGCUCCUCUGACGUUAGCGGCGGACGGGUGAGUAACACGUGGAUAACCUACCUAUAAGACUGGGAUAACUUCGGGAAACCGGAGCUAAUACCGGAUAAUAUAUUUAACCGCAUGGUUCAAUAGUGAAAGACGGUUUUGCUGUCACUUAUAGAUGGAUCCGCGCCGCAUUAGCUAGUUGGUAAGGUAACGGCUUACCAAGGCAACGAUGCGUAGCCGACCUGAGAGGGUGAUCGGCCACACUGGAACUGAGACACGGUCCAGACUCCUACGGGAGGCAGCAGUAGGGAAUAUUCCGCAAUGGGCGAAAGCCUGACGGAGCAACGCCGCGUGAGUGAUGAAGGUCUUCGGAUCGUAAAACUCUGUUAUUAGGGAAGAACAAAUGUGUAAGUAACUAUGCACGUCUUGACGGUACCUAAUCAGAAAGCCACGGCUAACUACGUG
rnacentral:rRNA from 1 species